CUUAGAGUUUGAUCCUGGCUCAGGAUGAACGCUAGCUACAGGCUUAACACAUGCAAGUCGAGGGGAAACGACAUCGAAAGCUUGCUUUUGAUGGGCGUCGACCGGCGCACGGGUGAGUAACGCGUAUCCAACCUGCCCACCACUUGGGGAUAACCUUGCGAAAGUAAGACUAAUACCCAAUGACGUCUCUAGAAGACAUCUGAAGGAGAUUAAAGAUUUAUCGGUGAUGGAUGGGGAUGCGUCUGAUUAGCUUGUUGGCGGGGUAACGGCCCACCAAGGCGACGAUCAGUAGGGGUUCUGAGAGGAAGGUCCCCCACAUUGGAACUGAGACACGGUCCAAACUCCUACGGGAGGCAGCAGUGAGGAAUAUUGGUCAAUGGACGAGAGUCUGAACCAGCCAAGUAGCGUGCAGGAUGACGGCCCUAUGGGUUGUAAACUGCUUUUAUAAGGGAAUAAAGUGAGUCUCGUGAGACUUUUUGCAUGUACCUUAUGAAUAAGGACCGGCUAAUUCCGUGCCAGCAGCCGCGGUAAUACGGAAGGUCCGGGCGUUAUCCGGAUUUAUUGGGUUUAAAGGGAGCGUAGGCCGGAGAUUAAGCGUGUUGUGAAAUGUAGACGCUCAACGUCUGCACUGCAGCGCGAACUGGUUUCCUUGAGUACGCACAAAGUGGGCGGAAUUCGUGGUGUAGCGGUGAAAUGCUUAGAUAUCACGAAGAACUCCGAUUGCGAAGGCAGCUCACUGGAGCGCAACUGACGCUGAAGCUCGAAAGUGCGGGUAUCGAACAGGAUUAGAUACCCUGGUAGUCCGCACGGUAAACGAUGGAUGCCCGCUGUUGGUCUGAAUAGGUCAGCGGCCAAGCGAAAGCAUUAAGCAUCCCACCUGGGGAGUACGCCGGCAACGGUGAAACUCAAAGGAAUUGACGG
rnacentral:rRNA from 1 species